AGAGUUUGAUCCUGGCUCAGGAUGAACGCUGGCGGUCUGCUUAACACAUGCAAGUCGAACGGGAAUCUUAGGAUUCUAGUGGCGGACGGGUGAGUAACGCGUGAGAAUCUGCCUUCAGGACGGGGAUAACAGGAGGAAACUGCUGCUAAAACCGGAUAUGCCGAAAGGUGAAAGUAUUAAUAGCCUGAAGAGGAGCUCGCGUCUGAUUAGCUAGUUGGUAGGGUAAAAGCUUACCAAGGCGACAAUCAGUAGCUGGUCUGAGAGGACGAUCAGCCACACUGGGACUGAGACACGGCCCAGACUCCUACGGGAGGCAGCAGUGGGGAAUUUUCCGCAAUGGGCGAAAGCCUGACGGAGCAAGACCGCGUGGGGGAGGAAGGUUCUUGGAUUGUAAACCCCUUUUCUCAGGGAAGAACACAAUGACGGUACCUGAGGAAUAAGCAUCGGCUAACUCCGUGCCAGCAGCCGCGGUAAUACGGAGGAUGCAAGCGUUAUCCGGAAUAAUUGGGCGUAAAGCGUCCGUAGGUGGUCAUUCAAGUCUGCCGUUAAAGAGUGGGGCUUAACCCCACAAAGGCGGUGGAAACUGAAAGACUAGAGUGCAGUAGGGGUAGAGGGAAUUCCCGGUGUAGCGGUGAAAUGCGUAGAGAUCGGGAAGAACACCGGUGGCGAAAGCGCUCUGCUGGACUGCAACUGACACUGAGGGACGAAAGCUAGGGGAGCGAAUGGGAUUAGAUACCCUAGUAGUCC
rnacentral:rRNA from 1 species